AUUGAACGCUAGCGGCAGGCUUAACACAUGCAAGUCAAGCGGGGUGAUGGUGCUUGCACUAUCACUUAGCGGCGGACGGGUGAGUAAUGCUUAGGAAUCUGCCUAUUAGUGGGGGACAACAUCUCGAAAGGGAUGCUAAUACCGCAUACGUCCUACGGGAGAAAGCAGGGGAUCACUUGUGACCUUGCGCUAAUAGAUGAGCCUAAGUCGGAUUAGCUAGUUGGUGGGGUAAAGGCCUACCAAGGCGACGAUCUGUAGCGGGUCUGAGAGGAGGAGCCGCCACACUGGGACUGAGAAACGGCCCAGACUCCUACGGGAGGCAGCAGUGGGGAAUAUUGGACAAUGGGGGGAACCCUGAUCCAGCCAUGCCGCGUGUGUGAAGAAGGCCUUAUGGUUGUAAAGCACUUUAAGCGAGGAGGAGGCUCUUUUGGUUAAUACCCAAGAUGAGUGGACGUUACUCGCAGAAUAGGCACCGGCUAACUCUGUGCCAGCCGCCGCCGUAACAC
rnacentral:rRNA from 1 species